UCUAGUGGCAGGAAGAAAUGCGUCCUGGAAGACGCGCCCGGAGGUGCUGAGUCAGCGCUACCAGAAGCUCUCUGGCUGCGGCUGCGCAGCAGAUCUAGGGACACUCCCUAGGUUUGACGGAGAAGGCUCUUUGCUGGUCCCAAACACUUACUUGAGUCCUGAUAAUUCUCACCAUCAAGGAUUUGAAUUCUCCAUCUAAAAUAAUUUUAUGUAAGUCAGCUCUACUUCUACUUAAUAAGGGCAUUUGACAAGGGAGGAUUUGGAAGCAGCGCAUAAUACAAGCGGGACGUCUGCAGCACGCAACUCCAAGACCCAAGACUGUGCUCCGACACCGCAGCUGACGGGGAAGGCCGCUCAGGUCCCACCGAGUCUGGGGCAACCAGCAGAAAUGCACCGAUAACCCCGUCUGCUCAGGAAGAUCAUGAGAGAAGAGGAUGAGCCACAUGUGAAGGUCCAAGUCUAAUGAGGACCAAACCGACCGCAGCAGCACUGACCAGAGACCGCGUGGGAGCCUGCUGCUGUUUGAGGCCCUCGGGCUGUGCUGUCACGCUAGUCCCAGCCGCUGCCUCCUGCCUGGGCUGCCAGCUCAGGCCUUCAACCCGAACUCCGUUCUGCCCACUGCUGGCCCGCCUUUACCCGGCCUGGAUCCUCUGCCUGCCCUACCCCAAACCAGAACGACCACUCUUGAGAGCCAGCUGCACGGCACUGUUCCGAGCACCCUCUUUCUAUUAGUGCAUUCAGUCUUCCCGAUGGCUUCGUGAAGUAGGUGCACUCUUAAAAUUUUACAAAUAGGGAAUGAGAGACAGGGAGAUGUUUGGUAACUUGCCCAAGGCCACGCUGCUGAUUAGCAGGUAGGAGCCCGGCCUCCGGCUGCAGAAGCAAGACUUGCGUGUAGGCACCGCCUGCGCCUCUGCAGACCCGCCCUCCGCGCCUUCCUGGCCUCCGCUCCCAGGCCGCGCUCCUGCAGCUUGGGCUGGAUGCUUCUCGCAGGCCCGCUCCGCUGCAGGUGGGUUAGCCCGAGCCAGACAGGGCUCCAGCCAGUCCUGCUCAGGAGUCCAGACUUGGUCCUGAGGGCAGCUGGGAGCCAUUGGCAGACGGGGGCAGGUGUGCGACAGGAUUAGGGCUGUACUGUGGAAAGCUGUCUCUGGAAAGAGUGCAGACUCUAUUGGCUUACGUUUGGCAAAAUCGGAGGAGGGUAGAGAAUAAGAAUGAAGACUAACACAGUACC